AAAUAAUUAAAAAUUAAAUUUGAUUAAUUUUAGUCAUAAGAACAAUAAAAUAACAAAAUAUUUUUUUUUCAACAUCAUUUAAAAUGGUGCUUUUAUCACCCUGAAUCUCAAUGCUGGAUGGGUUAUACAACAAGAAGAUGAUAUACCUGGGAAACUCCAUUAAGUUGUUAUUAAUAGCCUACAUGGAAUAUCUGUAAUAUUAUCAAAUACUGAGGGUAUUCUUAAUUUAUUCCUCCUUUUGCAUUCCAGUCUCAAAUUCUUUAAUAGUCACGCUUGAAAGUCAAAGUUUAUUGACCGAGAAAUCAGGUAUACAGUUUUGGCACAUGGACAGUCAGACAAUUGCAGAAGGGAAUGAGACCUAGAAAGAGAUAGCAGAUAUUGCUGUUGCUUAGCUUGAGAAUUAAUAUAUGCAUGAAAUUCUGUGUUCUGCAAGGUGCUAAAGUUUCAUUUUAUGCAAGGCCCCUAUCUAAGUCUUGGUGGUCUUGGGUUUGAGCUUUAGGCAAACCCAAGACACAUUGACAGUACCAUUGACAUACACCUGUGGGGAGAUGAUGCAACAAUUGUAUAAAUAUUUCUAUUUUAUGCACCUAAAAAUGCAAGUGUGAUUUGAUUCAACAAAUAUCCUGCUGAAGUAACCAAUUAGUUAAAUUCUUCUAAUAACAGAGACCAAGACAUGCUGGAGCACUCAUUUAGCAAUGCUAGCAAGACAUAGUUGUUGCCAUGUUAGCAAAUUAGGCAAUGUAUCUUUCUCUACUUCUUUGUAAUUUUUUCCUCUUCAAGAUCAGACAGGUGAAAAGUCUAAUUUUGAAACCGAAAAGUAAUUGGGAUAUGGCUUUCUUGAGCAGAGCAGAGUAGUUAUCAAACUUGAAAUUAUAUGGUAGUCAUUGUUCAUUACUUCUACUUUUGAGAGCAGAACUGUGUGGGGCAGCUAAGGUUCUAUGUAUGUGUGAUGGCCUGUUUGUCGGUAAUUUGUUUAAAGAGCAUGUACCUUUUAAUUAUUAGUUGGCCUCUGUUUAUAUUUUCUAGCAACUAAUUUUAUCUCU
rnacentral:misc_RNA from 1 species